GGUCGUGUUCUUAAGCUGCUAUAGCGACUGAUAAUGGUCGUGCCGCUGAGUUUAUAAGGAAGAGGGUUUAUAAGGAUAAGAGUAGGUGCUACGAGUGCGGCGCAAUUGAUGGGCAUUUGUCUUAUGAAUGCCCUAAAAAUCAAUUGGGGCCAAGGGAGCGACCAGAACCGAAGCGGGUAAGAAGGGGUGGAGUUGGUGCUAGGCACGAGGAGGAUUGGGGAUCGGAUGUUGGAGAAGGGUUUGAGGAUGACAAUUGGGCCUCGGUGGUGGACGGAGAUGCAGACCAGAGACUCCUGACUGGCGGUGAGAACAUUGUAGAGAAGAAAAAAGAGAAGAAAGCAAGUUAUUUCAGUGACGAGAGCGACGAAGAUGAUUAACUGAGCCUGUCUCUUUGGGAAGAGUUUGUAAAAGGGUAAUAAUGUUGCAAAGCUUUUUAAUAUUCCUCCACACAACCAUGGUUCCGUGUAUCAAGGUUGGAGACCAAAGUUGAGAGGCUAAAGUCGGUAGUACAAGUUGAAGAUAGGGAGAUUGCAACAGUUACACGAAUAGAAGCCAAAGGUAAGGCUGCUUUUAAAGCUCAAAUUGACAAGCUACAGUAGGAAAAUGUUGAACUCCAGAGAAGGGUUAUUGGCAAUCAGCAAGUAAGAACUCAACAAAUACAUGAGAUGAAGAAGAAAGAAAAGGAGUACAUCAAAUUGCAGGUGAGAACCUACAGGGUAUAGGAAUACCUACAGGAAAGCUGGAUAUGUAUGUUGCUGCUGCUGGCAUAAACCCUCAAAGAUGAAAGAGGCACUAUCAGCAUUGACAUGUACAUGUGAUUUUAGGCAUGAACCAGGAGAGUGAGAGUUUUAGUGUGCCGUGUUUAGAAUUUGCCGAUAUCUUUUCCCGUUCCAGCAAGUAUUCCUGAUUGUGGGGAUUCUUCCAGUAAUGCUAGAUAUUGGUACUAACAACGAGAAGUUACUUAAUGAUUCUCUUUGAUUUAUUGGAGUUGAGGAGUCCCACAAUCUUUAUGUUCUGUUUGUUUUUCCAUCACUUUUUCAAGGCUGUUCAAUUGGAGUUCCAUCUUCAGGUUGACGUGAUUGUCUUGACAGAUGGAAGUCGUAUUCUUGGCCUCGGUGACCUUGGAGUUCAGGGAAUAGGAAUACCUAGAUUGGAGGGAGAAGAGUAUCUAUCUAUUGUUGAUGAAUUUAUGGAAGUCGUGAUACAUGUUGGCCUAAAGCUAUUGUUCAGUUUGAGGACUUUCAAAUGAAAUGGGCUUUUGAAACAUUACAACGUUAUCGUAAGAGGUUCUGCAUGUUCAAUGAUGACAUACAAGGAACUUCUGGUGUUGCUCUCGCUGGACUAUUGGGAAAUGUGAGAGCUCAAGGGCAGCCAUUGAGUGAUUUGUUAACCAAAAGAUAGUAGUGGUAGGGGCUGGAAGGAACAAGGAUGAAUAAUCAAUGAAAAAGGAAUGAAGAGGUUUAUCCAUGCAAGCUUCAAACCAAAGCCAAGGAUGUCGAUCCUUCCAGGGGAGUCCAAAGUUCUCCCUUAUUUUUCUCCCUUUAUUUUGAUUUUCAAAAGUUUGCAAUUUUUUAAGUGGGGGUGGGCAAUUGCUUGCAUGUUUAGUCUAAACUUGGAGGUUCAAAUUUUGCCCAAAUUUCAAAAUUUCUAAAAAAAAUUUCCUUACAAUAAUGAGCACUAUACCUUCUUAGAUUACUUAGAUCUUGCAUAAAAAGCAUGACUAGCAACCCUUGAUCACUGAGCUUGGGUUUGUGAUGUAAAAUUCUGAAUGUUGAUGAGUAUAUGUGCUGAAAUUUGAGAAUAAGCUGCCAGUGUUUUUUGGUUUAAGCCCAUUUUUAGCGAUAUCUUAUGGAGAUGUGAAUGCAUGAUUGAGAAAAUGGUAUGUGUGUUGUGAAUGCUUGAUUGCAUGCAUAUAAUAAAUAAGUGCAUGGAUACUUUUCUAGCUUUGUCUUCCUUUGUUUCUUUGCCAUGACUUACCUAUGAUGCGCUUAGUCCAAACCUAGCCUAGAUAGAGUUAAAAAAGGAUAGGAGGUACUCUUUAGAAAUUGAGAUGGUUUUAACAAAUUUGUCUUGUCAAACAUGAGUUUGGAGCCUCUUGUCUAGCCACAAUGAACUAAAUCCCUUUAGAAAGGGUGGGCAUUAACAAAUCUUGUUGUCACUUCGAAGGGAGCAGUCAAACUUAGAAACUAAGUGUAGAACCAUAGAAAGGUUACCCCAUCGGUUAUUGUGUGCGUACCAAAGAAAGAAAAGAGAGACUUGCAAAUGUAAAACUUAAGACAGCGAGACAAUUAAGAGCUAAAAAAAACAAAGAACAUAUGCAUUAUACAUCAGAAAAAUCCCA